rnacentral:rRNA from 1 species
GAUGAACGCUGGCGGCGUGCUUAACACAUGCAAGUCGAACGGUGAAGCAGGUGCUUGCUCCUGUGGAUCAGUGGCGAACGGGUGAGUAACACGUGAGCAAUCUGCCCUGGACUCUGGGAUAAGCGUUGGAAACGACGUCUAAUACCGGAUACGAGGCGUGGGGGCAUCCCCAACGCCUGGAAAGAACUUCGGUCCAGGAUGAGCUCGCGGCCUAUCAGGUAGUUGGUGAGGUAACGGCUCACCAAGCCUACGACGGGUAGCCGGCCUGAGAGGGUGACCGGCCACACUGGGACUGAGACACGGCCCAGACUCCUACGGGAGGCAGCAGUGGGGAAUAUUGCACAAUGGGCGCAAGCCUGAUGCAGCAACGCCGCGUGAGGGACGACGGCCUUCGGGUUGUAAACCUCUUCUAGCAGGGAAGAAGCGAAAGUGACGGUACCUGCAGAAAAAGCACCGGCUAACUACGUGCCAGCCGCCGCCGUAAAAC